rnacentral:rRNA from 1 species
UACGGGGGGGGCGAGCGUUGUUCGGAAUUACUGGGCGUAAAGGGUUCGUAGGUGGCCGGCUAAGUCAGACGUGAAAUCCCUCAGCUCAACUGGGGAACUGCGUCUGAGACUGGUCGGCUCGAGUGCAGGAGAGGAACGCGGAAUUCCAGGUGUAGCGGUGAAAUGCGUAGAUAUCGGCAGGAACACCCAGGGAGAAAUCAGCCGCCUGGGCAAGUGCUGACGCUGAGGUGCGAAAGCGUGGGGAGCGAACCGG